UUUAAAAAAGCAAUAAACUAUACAGGUAAGACAAUGUUAAAUUACAAGUAAAAGAGUUCUCUAGGUAGCUACUCUUCCAAAGAGGUGAAUAUCUGUUCAACAGAAAGGCAAGACAAAGGCAUUUGAGCAGAGAAAGUGCUAUCAUGUAUACAAGGAACACUAAUGACUAAACAUCUUAAAUAGCAUCAGAGCAGAUACCUAAAUAUCGGCAGGAUAUUCUGUAAACGAAGGGAUUAUCCUAAUUUAGCUCAGAAAUCAAAAUUCCUAUCAGACAUUUUAGAAUUUGUCUGACCUUCAAAACACAAGCAUUGAAGAUAAAGAAAGGAAUGAAUACACCCAAAUCACCAACUUAUGCUAUCAAACAUCACACGAUAGCAAGGCAUCAGUAACUACCCGCCUACCCUUUUAAUGCAAAAUAGAAAGUAUAAAACCACAAUGUAGAGUCCGUUGCUUUAAUUAUGAGGCCAUUAAAUAGGAAAACUGGAAUAAAGUACGAGAGCAUUGUUUGCUUGACGUGACAUAUAACUGCAGAAGGUCGAAGUAGAACAAACAUUAAGUAAAGGCUUCUUAUUCGCAAUAUAGUUUUUGUUCGUGUAUGGAAACCAAUUAGGAAAAGGCUUAAAUGAUCAUUUCACUGACGUUCCCCUUCUAAGAUCAGAUGGUGCCCAUCAGUCAUCAGAAGAAUAAGAAUUGGAAUUUACACCCCCCUCACAAAAAAUAAUAAUAAUAAUACCAAAUUCCGAUUUCUGUCUGUUCAAAAAAAAUUCCAAUUUCUGUAAAAAAAAUGUCAAAGAUACAAAAUGUGUAUCCCUGAGUAGUGUCCACUACAAAUUACCAAGAUAGGACUACAUUCCAAGUGCAUGUAUUAAGACUGGGGCAAGAAAAACCAUAUUUCGAAAGGAAGAAAUCAUGA